UACGUAGGGGGCUAGCGUUGUCCGGAAUCAUUGGGCGUAAAGCGCGCGUAGGCGGCCCGGUAAGUCCGCUGUGAAAGUCAAAGGCUCAACCUUUGAAUGUCAGCGGAUACUGCCGGGCUAGAGUCCGGAAGAGGCGAGUGGAAUUCCUGGUGUAGCGGUGGAAUGCGCAGAUAUCAGGAGGAACACCAACGGCGAAGGCAGCUCGCUGGGACGGUACUGACGCUGAGGCGCGAAAGCUAGGGGAGCGAACUGG
rnacentral:rRNA from 1 species